UACGAAGGGGGCUAGCGUUGCUCGGAAUUACUGGGCGUAAAGGGCGCGUAGGCGGCGCUGCAAGUCAGGCGUGAAAUUCCUGGGCUUAACCUGGGGACUGCGCUUGAGACUGUGGAGCUAGAGGUCAGAAGAGGGUCGUGGAAUUCCCAGUGUAGAGGUGAAAUUCGUAGAUAUUGGGAAGAACACCGGUGGCGAAGGCGGCGACCUGGUCUGAUACUGACGCUGAGGCGCGACAGCGUGGGGAGCAAACAGG
rnacentral:rRNA from 1 species